UUUGGUUAAGCUAUAAAGAGCGCAGGGUGGAUGCCUUGGCACUAAGAGCCGAUGAAAGACGUGAUAAGCUGCGAAAAGCUUCGGGGAGGAGCAAAUAUCCUUUGAUCCGGAGAUAUCUGAAUGGGGAAACCCGGCUGAGCAAACCUCAGUCACUGCAUGGUGAAUCCAUAGCCAUGCAGAGGGAACCCGGUGAACUGAAACAUCUAAGUAGCCGGAGGAAGAGAAAGAAACAUCGAUUCCCAAAGUAGCGGCGAGCGAAAUGGGAAGAGCCCAAACCAGCGUGCGUGCAUGCUGGGGUUAAGGACUGCAAACGUGAACCGAUUUGUUAGUGGAACUGUCUGGGAAGUCAGGCCAGAGAGGGUGAAAGCCCCGUACACGAAAACAAUAGGAAGCAGCAGGAUCCAGAGUACCACGAGACACGAGAAACCUUGUGGGAAGUCGGAGGGACCACCCUCCAAGGCUAAAUACUCCUUAGUGACCGAUAGCGCAUAGUACUGUGAAGGAAAGGUGAAAAGGACCCCGGGAGGGGAGUGAAAAAGAACCUGAAACCCUGUGUUUACAAGCUGUGGAAGCACGUUAAGGUGCGACCGCGUACUUUUUGUAGAACGGUCCGGCGAGUUGCCGGUACUGGCAAGGUUAAGAGCUUAAGGCUCGGAGCCGAAGGGAAACCAAGUCUCAAAUGGGCGUCAAGUCAGUACAGGCAGACCCGAAACCGGGUGACCUAUCCAUGUCCAGGUUGAAGCGGAAGUAAAAUUCCGUGGAGGACCGGAUCCACAUCCGUUGAAAAGGGUGGGAAUGAGGUGUGGAUAGGGGAGAAAUUCCAAUCGAACCCGGAGAUAGCUGGUUCUCCUCGAAAUAGCUUUAGGGCUAGCCUCAUAUUAGUUUAGCGGAGGUAGAGCACUGAAUUCCUAAGGGGGCGUCAAAGCUUACCAAGGGAUAUCAAACUCCGAAUGCCGCAUAAAUGAUGUAUGGGAGUCAGACUGCACGAGAUAAGUUGGGUAGUCAAAAGGGAAAGAGCCCAGACCUACAGCUAAGGUCCCAAAGUGUGUGUUAAGUGGAAAAGGAUGUGGGAUUUCAAAGACAACUAGGAUGUUGGCUCAGAAGCAGCCACACAUUCAAAGAGUGCGUAAUAGCUCACUAGUCGAGAGGUCCUGCGCCGAAAAUGUCCGGGGCUGAAACACAACACCGAAGCUUAGGAAUGUAUGUAAGUACAUUGGUAGAGGAGCAUUCUUAGUGCGGAGAAGCGGUACCGAUAAGGAGCCGUGGAGCGUUAAGAAGAGAGAAUGCCGGAAUGAGUAGCGAGAUGGAGGUNNNNNNNNNNAGAGAAUGCCGGAAUGAGUAGCGAGAUGGAGGUGGGAAUCCUCCAGGCCGAAUAUCCAAGGUUUCCAGAGUAAAGCUGAUCUGCUCUGGGUAAGUCGGGGCCUAAGGCGAGGCUGAGAGGCGUAGUCGAUGGACAACAGGUUGAAAUUCCUGUACCAUGUAUCAUCAGAACUGUGGGGACACAGAAGGACAACACAUCCCGGGAAUGGGAAUACCGGGGCAAGCGUAGGAGGAGUCAGGUUGGCAAACCCGCCUGGCAAUCCAAAGACGUGACGCGCAGCGAACUAAAGUAGCGAAGUGUGUGA
rnacentral:rRNA from 1 species